GCUUGCUAGUAUCAAUGUAACUCUACAUAUUAUGCAGAUAUAGUUUGAAGGUGCUGGUGAUCAGCUCAGUCGGUUUUGACUGCACGAUUUUUUUUCCCAUUCCAGCAAAUCCAAGAUCUCAAUAAUAUUUGGUCGUAGGCGAUUGAAUGUAUUCGUCAGGUUUUUCAUUUGACUUCUACAAACAGUCCAUGUGCCCAAUCUCCUGACCAGCCCUGAAGAUGCUGCCUCAGGAUGGGAGUAUGGAUCAAUGGCGAGCUCUACACUGUGAAUUGCCUGUCCUUUCAAGGUAGACAGACAGGAGGCUGGAAGAACACAGCAAGCCAGUCGGCAUCUGGAGGAAAGGGGCAGUCGAUGUUUCAGAUGCUGCCUGACUUGAGUUUCAUACGUUUAAAAAGCUUGGGUCCGAAGUCAAAUUGGCGCCAUCAGAACCCAGACCGUGCCAGAUUUCAGAUUCUGCCACAUUUUUGGACUGUCAGCUGGUGGAACAGAUUCUGUUCCAUUCAAGGAGGUCUGAUUGUCAUCAGUUGAAUAUUAUAGGACUCACUGCUGCAUGUUGAAUGCCAGCCUACACCUCUCUUGCUGUGAUUGUAGGGGUUCCUGGCAUCGUGAUUUAAUGACAGGAUAAAAGUGAAAAAUCACAUUGCCAGGGAUUACCACACAGUUGCAGGCACAUGCCAGCUGUAUUACUGAGAACUCUGACAACAAGGAUAUCACACUCGAAGAGUAAUGCCUUCCUGUUGUAUAAGUCACAGGAGCUGAGAUCAUUAUCUUCUUGUUGUUGUCAUCAAACACCCAGCAAGGACCAAGCAUUAUUUUUACUUUUUGUUUGAAAGGCAUAGACAAAUCCACUUCUGUAACCAAGUGAAAGUCAGGUCUAUGAUUCUGAAAGGAGAUCAAGUCACCCCACAGCUCAUCUUCAUUCUGGUUUUGUGAAAAGUUAACAACUUGCAAUUUAGUUUUUUAAUUUCAAAUAUAUUUUAUUCAUAAAUCAUCUGUUAGUACAUACAAAGGUUCUAAAUCAGUUCUGUACAGUCGUUGCAGAGAAAAGAGUCAAAAUAUUGGAAUUUUGCAUUUCUCAGGUCUUCUCUACAGUUGCAGAAACAAAGGCAUUUUCCCCAUAUGCAGGAAGCUUAUAUUUUAUAUUUAUUUAUAUUCAUUUCAAGGUAAUGAGAGGUUCUGACAACUGAACAGACUUUCAUUGUACUUUGGCAGAAAGACCCUAGGUGCUGGUCUUUCCUCACUCCACCUUAGUGACAAUGCCCUAAGCUUAGUGUGUCCCUCAGCACACAGUCCUGGACUUUGGAAUGUGCCAGUCUGUUGCACUGUAUAUGAGCCCUUGCUAACACCUCAAUAUGUUCCUGGUGAGAGCCAUUUUCAAACUCUUUUUAUAAUAGACUUAUUCCCGUGACAACAACAUGAAGUAAAGUCCGAAGCUAUGCUAAGCCAACCUUGUUAUUUCCUCCUAAUUGGCCCGACCUUAUCUGAUUCUGAUUGUGUCAGAUUCUGUGGUGUCAAGUCUCUCUCUCGUGCAGAUGACUAAAGAGAGAAUGGGCAUUGCACGUAUGUGAGUUUGAUUUCACUCUUGCUUAAGCUGAACAUCCCUUCCUCGCUCUUGUGGCUAUUUUAAAAAUUUGUUUAUGGGAUGAGAGCAUUGCUGGUUAGACCAGCAUUUAUUGCCUGGUCCUAAUUGCUCAGAGGGCAGUUAAGCAUCAACCACAUUGCUGUGGAUCUGGAGCCACAUGUAGGCCAGACCAGGUAAGGAUGGCAGCUUCCUUCCCUAAAGGAUAUUAAUGAACCAGAUGGGCUUUUCGACAGUCGACAGUGAUAAUCAUUUUGCAUUUCUUCAUUUUGUCUUCCAAACUCCAAAGAAAGUUCUUC